GAAAUGCAAUAAUUAAUGUGAAUUGCAGAAUUCAGUGAAUCAUCGAGUCUUUGAACGCACAUUGCGCCCCCUGGUAUUCCGGGGGGCAUGACUGUCCGAGCGUCAUUGCUGCCCUCAAGCGCGGCUUGUGUGUUGGGCUUCCGUCCCUGGCAACGGGGACGGGCCCAAAAGGCAGUGGCGGCACCAUGUCUGGUCCUCGAGCGUAUGGGGCUUUGUCACCCGCUCCCGUAGGUCCAGCUGGCAGCUAGCCUCGCAACCAAUCUUUUUAACCAGGUUGACCUCGGAUCAGGUAGGGAUACCCGCUGAACUUAAGC
rnacentral:misc_RNA from 1 species